rnacentral:rRNA from 1 species
AUUGAUCGCUGGCGGCAUGCCUUACACAUGCAAGUCGAACGGUAACAGGUCUUCGGAUGCUGACGAGUGGCGAACGGGUGAGUAAUACAUCGGAACGUGCCUAGUAGUGGGGGAUAACUACUCGAAAGAGUGGCUAAUACCGCAUGAGAUCUACGGAUGAAAGCAGGGGAUCGCAAGACCUUGUGCUACUAGAGCGGCCGAUGGCAGAUUAGGUAGUUGGUGGGAUAAAAGCUUACCAAGCCGACGAUCUGUAGCUGGUCUGAGAGGACAAUCAGCCAGACUGGGACUGAGACACGGCCCAGACUCCUACGGGAGGCAGAAGUGGGGAAUUUUGGACAAUGGGCGCAAGCCUGAUCCAGCAAUGCCGCGUGCAGGAUGAAGGCGUUCGGGUUGUAAACUGCUUUUGUACGGAACGAAAAGCCCUGGGUUAAUACCCUGGGGUCAUGACGGUACCGUAAGAAUAAGCACCGGCUAACUACGUGCCAGCCGCCGCCGUAAGAC